rnacentral:rRNA from 1 species
UGCAAGUCGAACGAAGUAGCAAUACUUAGUGGCAGACGGGUGAGUAACAUGUAGGUAUCUACCCUUUGGCCUGGAAUAACACGAGGAAACUUGUGCUAAUACCGGAUAAGUCUUUACAGAGAAAGCUUUUUGCACCAUUGGAUGAGCCUGCACUUGAUUAGUUUGUUGGUGGGGUAAUGGCCUACCAAGACUUUGAUCAAUAGCUGAUUUGAGAGGAUGAUCAGCCACAUUGGGACUGAGACACGGCCCAAACUCCUACGGGAGGCAGCAGUGGGGAAUCUUGCACAAUGGAGGAAACUCUGAUGCAGCGAUGCCGCGUGAGUGAAGAAGGCCCUUGGGUUGUAAAGCUCUUUCGUCGGGGAAGAAAAUGACUGUACCCGAAUAAGAAGGUCCGGCUAACUUCGUGCCAGCAGCCGCGGUAAUACGAAGGGACCUAGCGUAGUUCGGAAUUACUGGGCUUAAAGAGUUCGUAGGUGGUUGAAAAAGUUGGUGGUGAAAUCCCAGAGCUUAACUCUGGAACUGCCAUCAAAACUUUUCAGCUAGAGUUUGAUAGAGGAAAGCAGAAUUUC